GUCCAAAGUCUUUACUUAUUUUCUACUUUAAAGCAUGCUUAAACUUUGCAGGAGCAGGAUGUGGAGGGUUUGAAACGUAAAUUAUCCGAAUCGGAAGCCAAUGAAACGAUAAUCAGGCUACUGUUGAUGAAGAGAUUUUCGAUGCCCAGUCUUUAAGGUUAUCCAUUAAUGAGUUACUAAGAACUAUUGGCCUAAAAUGUGGACAAAUCAUUGCAAUUAGAAAAGCAUUUCCUAGUUCUUUGGAUACAAGCACUAAAGAAUCUAAAGAAAGCUGCUCCAUGGCCUUAAUCAACUAUUCCUAUGGUACGAUUGUGUUUAAUAUGUUCAGGCAACUACUACUAAAGGAUGCAGUCAUCUCAUUUGUUGUCAACAUAUCUGAUUUUUUAGUCAUUUUCUACAUUUCCUUUUUUAUGUUUUCUUUGCUGCCAAAUUGUAAUGAACACAGACCCCCAAUGCAAUCAUUUUUGCAGAAAAGCAGGAAUCUGCCAAAACAAGUCAUAGCAAUGCAUCACUGUCCAGUGCUUUUGUGAAAACACCUGAAUCUGGAAAAAAGAAUAUAAUAUCCAUAGAGCUGCCUGAAAAGUCAUCGUUAUCUCCAAGAGUACAACAGGGACUAAGAGAAGGAAAGUUGAUAGACAAAGCCAGAAAUGAGUAUGUCCGAGAUGUGUGCAAUGUAAUCCGUACAUUUUCAUUGUAUAUAUGUAUGCAUGUACAGUAUAGGCAUAUAGUUAAUUGUUCAUUGCUAUUGUUUUUAUAAUUUCAUAACUUGCCCUACAGUUGUCCAUGAUUUCGCAGAUACAUCAUAUAGUCUAUUAAUCCUCGUGCGUGAAACUUUUUGUGAAUUAUGCUUACUAUAUUUAUGUAGCUACCCCUAUAUAAUUAUAAGCCAAUCAGAAAAAGGCCAGUUAUAUUCAGUCCAAUUAAUUGGCUGAUUAUAACUAAGAAUGUUCAAUUACCCCCUGAGUUUACAUGAGUGUAGACAAUAUGUUUUAUUUGCGAUUGAAAAGGAUCAAAUAAGUUAUAUACUGUUAUAUUUUCAUGUUAUAGAUUUAAAGUUAAUAACUGCAUAUUUUUAUGUGUUUUAUAUACGUGUUUUU